rnacentral:rRNA from 1 species
AGUCAUACGCUCGUCUCAAAGAUUAAGCCAUGCAUGUGUAAGUAUAAAUAAUUUUACUUUGAAACUGCGAAUGGCUCAUUAUAUCAGUUAUAGUUUAUUAGAAAUACUUUACUACUUGGAUAACCGUAGUAAUUCUAGGGCUAAUACAUGAAUAAAUCCUCAACUUCGGAAGAGGUGUGUUUAUUAGUAUGAAAACCAUAUAUCUUCGGAUAUAAUAGUGAGUAAUAAUAACCUUUCGUAUCGUAUGUCGUAAGAUAACGAUAGUUCUUUCAAGUUUCUGCCCUAUCAGCUUUCGAUGGUAGUAUAUGGGACUACCAUGGCAGUAACGGGUAACGAAGAAUUUGGGUUCGAUUUCGGAGAGGGAGCCUGAGAGAUGGCUACCACAUCCAAGGAAGGCAGCAGGCGCGUAAAUUACCCAAUCCUGACAUAGGGAGGUAGUGACAAUAAAUCACAAUGCGGAACUAUUUAGUUUUGCAAUUGGAUUGAGAACAAUGUACAAAUGUUAUCGAUAAACAAUUGGAGGGCAAGUCUGGUGCCAGCAGCCGCGGUAAUUCCAGCUCCAAUAGCGUAUAUUAACGUUGUUGCAGUUAAAAAGCUCGUAGUUGAAAUGUGGGAUGAAGUAUAUGAUGAAUUUAAUAUUCAAUUAUAUAUUGAUUCCCCUCUCCAAUUUAUUAUUAUGGGUAUUAAUUUAUUUGUAAUAAGAAUUGGUCAUUUACUGUGAGAAAAUUAGAGUGUUCAAAGCAGGCAUUUGCUUGAAUAGAUUAGCAUGGAAUAAUAAUAAAAGGCUUUUAUGGUCGAUUUAAUUGGUUUGUUCAUAAAAGCAAGAUUAAAAGGAACAGUUGGGGGUAUUCAUAUUCAAUAGUUAGAGGUGAAAUUCUCGGAUUUAUGGAA